rnacentral:rRNA from 1 species
GACGAACGCUGGCGGCGUGCCUAAUACAUGCAAGUCGAACGCAGUGGGGACGGGUGAGUAACACGUGGGUAACCUCCCAUCAGAGGGGAUAACACUUGGAAACAGGCGCUAUACCGAUACGGAUGGAUGGACCCGCGGUGCAUUAGCUAGUUGGUGAGGUAACGGGCCACCAAGGCGACGAUCCCUACGCGGCCUGGGCGGGUGAUCGGCCACACUGGGAAUGGGGCACGGGCCAGACUCCCACGGGAGGCAGCAGUAGGGAAACAUCGGCCAUGGGCGGCAGUCUGACCGAGCAACGCCGCGGUGGUGAAGAAGGGUUUCGGGUCGUAAAGCUCUGUUGAUAGAGAAGCGGUAACUAAACAGAAAGGGACGGCUAACUACGUGCCAGCAGCCGCGGUAAUAC